UACAGAGGGGGCAAGCGUUGUUCGGAAUUACUGGGCGUAAAGGGCGCGUAGGCGGCCCGCUAAGUCGAACGUGAAAUCCCCGAGCUCAACUCGGGAACUGCGUCCGAUACUGGUGGGCUUGAAUCCGGGAGAGGGAUGCGGAAUUCCAGGUGUAGCGGUGAAAUGCGUAGAUAUCUGGAGGAACACCGGUGGCGAAGGCGGCAUCCUGGACCGGCAUUGACGCUGAGGCGCGAAAGCUAGAGGAGCAAACAGG
rnacentral:rRNA from 1 species